rnacentral:tRNA from 1 species
GCCGGGGUGGCGAAAUUGGCGAGACGCGAGGGACUUAAAAUCCCUUGGGCGAAAGCCCGUGUGGGUUCGAUUCCCACCCCCGGCA